UACAGAGGUCUCAAGCGUUGUUCGGAUUCAUUGGGCGUAAAGGGUGCGUAGGCGGCGCGGUAAGUCGGGUGUGAAAUUUCGAGGCUUAACUUCGAAACUGCAUUCGAUACUGCCGUGCUUGAGGACUGGAGAGGAGACUGGAAUUUACGGUGUAGCGGUGAAAUGCGUAGAUAUCGUAAGGAAGACCAGUGGCGAAGGCGGGUCUCUGGACAGUUCCUGACGCUGAGGCACGAAGGCCCAGGGGGAGCAAAACGGG
rnacentral:rRNA from 1 species